rnacentral:rRNA from 1 species
GGUUGAUCCUGCCAGUAGUUAUAUGCUUGUCUCAAAGACUAAGCCAUGCAUGUCUAAGUAUAAACCAAUUGAUACGGUGAAACUGCGAAUGGCUCAUUAUAUCAGUUAUUGUUUAUUUGAUGAUACCCUACCACUUGGAUAACCGUGGUAAUUCUAGAGCUAAUACAUGCACGAAAUCUCGACUCGUUCGCGGGAAGGGAUGUAUUUAUUAGGUAAAAGCCAGCCCGGCGUCCCUCGGGGCGUCGGUUCAGCCUGGUGAUUCAUGAUAACUUUGCGAAUCGCAAGACUUUUU